rnacentral:piRNA from 1 species
UUCCUGCAGAUUUUCAAGUUUUGUUGAAUA